UACACUCCUACGGGAGACAGCAGUGGGGAAUAUUGGACAAUGGGCGCAAGCCUGAUCCAGCCAUGCCGCGUGAGUGAUGAAGGCCCUAGGGUUGUAAAGCUCUUUCACCGGUGAAGAUAAUGACGGUAACCGGAGAAGAAGCCCCGGCUAACUUCGUGCCAGCAGCCGCGGUAAUACGAAGGGGGCUAGCGUUGUUCGGAUUUACUGGGCGUAAAGCGCACGUAGGCGGACUAUUAAGUCAGGGGUGAAAUCCCGGGGCUCAACCCCGGAACUGCCUUUGAUACUGGUAGUCUUGAGUUCGAGAGAGGUGAGUGGAAUUCCGAGUGUAGAGGUGAAAUUCGUAGAUAUUCGGAGGAACACCAGUGGCGAAGGCGGCUCACUGGCUCGAUACUGACGCUGAGGUGCGAAAGCGUGGGGAGCAAACAGGAUUAGAAACCCGUGUAGUCCCAUG
rnacentral:rRNA from 1 species